CUAUACGGAAUAUCAAAGUGUUUCAUAGGAACCUUUAUUAAAGCUAAGCCAUGAUUAACGUGCAGCUGCUUCAUAGAAAGGCGGUGGAUUUUGUGAAUCUGUGUAAAUAAGAGUCAGUGCUGGAGAUCAGAUUCUGCUUCAUCAUGGAUGACACACAAACAUCCACAGAUGAAGAUUGUUCUCCAGGAUGCAGUUCAGUUCAUCAGAAGAGAUCAGAAGCAGAGUCCA